rnacentral:tRNA from 1 species
GAGGCUAUAGCUCAGUGGCGGACCGCAUGCCUAGCAUGCACGAGGCCCUGGGUUCAAUCCCCGGUACCUCCA